rnacentral:lncRNA from 1 species
UCUGGUCUAAGCCGUUCCGAACGAUAUCCCGUUGCAGGAAACCCAGGCACAGAGUAGAAGGGCAACCUCUAAAGGUAUUAUGGACUGACUUGGAACCCGAGGAAAUGGUAAGAAACUCUUCACUUUCCCCUGAAUACAGACAUCUCUGACUUUUUCUUCAUAUACUAUGGAGCACUACUCUGCCAUAAAGAAGAAUAAACUGAAGUCAUUUGUAGGAAAAUUGUAAGUGAAACCAUAAUGGUUAGUGAAAUAAACCAGGAACAUGAA